GCUUUGCAUAUUGUAAGCAAUCCUAAGGAGAAGUCUAUACAGUAGGAAACUAACAUCUCUUCACAACAUGAAAUAGAAGCUUUUCAACAACAUAAAUGAACUUGGAUGUGGACCCUUCAAUUCUAUUGAAUCUUGAGAUGACUGCAGCCCAGGCUAACAGUUUAUCUGCAGUACAAUGAAAAAAAACUUGCAUCAGAAUCAUCCAGAUAAACCACUUCUGGAUUAUGGACCUUCAGAAACUAAACAUUAGAAUUGAAAAAUAGAUGACUGGAUGAUUGUUACACAAUAAUUAAUCAACUUAAUGCCACUGGAUUGCCUGCUUAAAAAUGACUCAAAGGCUAACUAGUCCUAAAAUCUGAAAUUGGCCACAAGUUGAAGACCCAGGAUGAAUGAUGGUGUAGUUCCAGACUGCAGGCUGGCAGCUCAAGACCCCUGAAGAGUUGGUAUUUCAGUUCAAGUCCAAAGGUAGGAAAGAACUUUGGUCAACCUAACAGUCAAUCAAAACUUCCUUCUUAUUCAAACAUAUGUCAGUCCUUUUGUUUUACUCAGGCCUUCAACUGAUUAGAAGACAUUUACCCACACUUGGGAGGACAAUCCUCUUUAUUCACUCUACAACUCAAUCUCAUCCAGAAACACCCUCAAGGAAACAUAGAAAUAAUGGUUGUCCCAAUAUCUGGUCCCUGUGGCUCCAUCAAAUUGACACAAAAUUAGAUAUCAGAGUGGUUAGCAAGGCUCAGAGCCUGAGUUUGUGCUAACACAUAUAAACUGACAUGUUCCCAAAUUCUUCCUUUCUUGUUUA